GAAAGGGAUGCUAAUGAGUUUUUCAAAACCAAAUCCUGAAUGAAUAGCUAGAUUCGUUUCAGCAGCAGUAUGUCAAAGCGUUCAUAGGAGUUCAACUACUGGGGAUUCAAGGCAAAUAUUCUGAUUCAAACCACAGCAACCCAAGAAAGAUGAGAAUAGUAAUGUUAACAGCGUCAACAGCUUUAGACGCGCAAACUCAAAACUAGAGCAAUGUGGGAGUGUAAGCACCGAAUUACAAUAUGAAGUGGAAGUUCAUGCGCGAGCACGCAGCAGUACCAACAAAGGCAGAAUAGGAGUUAAGAGAGACACGUCAACCCCUACAAGAAAACGAUGCUGCAAAGGCAAACUAAUUUCAUUUUCAGUAACUUCAUUUGCUCCCCAAACUUGCACUUCAUCAAACCAAAUUUGGAUGAAACGCACUUUAUUCCUAACAUUUUUAACAAAAAUGAGAAUAUGUCUACUUCUUAACUGCUAUAUCGAAUUUAAAAUUUUCCAGAAGAUCU